CCCUUAGAUGUUCUGGGCCGCACGCGCGCCACACUGAUGCAUUCAACGAGUCUAAAACCUGCUCUGAUAGGGGUGGGUAAUCUUUUGAAUGUGCAUCGUGAUUGGGAUAGAUGAUUGCAAUUUUUCAUCUUCAACGAGGAAUGCCUAGUAAACGCAAGUCAUCAGCUUGCAUUGAUUACGUCCCUGCCCUUUGUACACACCGCCCGUCGCUCCUACCGAUUGAAUGAUCCGAUGAAUAUCAUGGAUUGAGGAUGCAAGCAGGUUCGCCUGUCUUCAUCUUCGAGAAGUGAAGUAAAUCUUAUCAUUUAGAGGAAGGUGAAGUCGUAACA
rnacentral:rRNA from 1 species